GUCCUUCGGGGAUAUCCGAUAAAAUUGAAACGAUGCAGAAAAGAUUAGCAUGGUCUCUGUGCAAAGAUAAUACCCACAAAUUGAGAAAUAGUGUAAUAUUUC